rnacentral:rRNA from 1 species
AGUGAACGCUGGCGGUAGGCCUAACACAUGCAAGUCGAACGGCAGCACAGUAAGAGCUUGCUCUUACGGGUGGCGAGUGGCGGACGGGUGAGGAAUACAUCGGAAUCUACUUUUUCGUGGGGGAUAACGUAGGGAAACUUACGCUAAUACCGCAUACGACCUACGGGUGAAAGCAGGGGAUCUUCGGACCUUGCGCGAUUGAAUGAGCCGAUGUCGGAUUAGCUAGUUGGCGGGGUAAAGGCCCACCAAGGCGACGAUCCGUAGCUGGUCUGAGAGGAUGAUCAGCCACACUGGAACUGAGACACGGUCCAGACUCCUACGGGAGGCAGCAGUAGGGAAUAUUCGGCAAUGGGCGAAAGCCUGAUGCAGCCAUGCCGCGUGAGUGAAGAAGGCCUUCGGGUUGUAAAGCCCUGUUAUUGGGAAAGAAAAGCAGCAGGUUAAUACGCCGCUGUUCUGACGGUACCCAAAGAAUAAGCACCGGCUAACUUCGUG